rnacentral:ncRNA from 3 species
CCUCCACUCUCCCCGCACAGGAGAGUGGACCGAGGCACCCGGCGCUCUCUGCCCUGACCGCGCCACGGUGCCUCCUGUGGCCGGGGGCACCGCACACCGCCGGCCAGGUAGCUCCGGGCUGCGGUGCCGGGCGGGCUGAGGGUCCCGCCCUGGCGC